rfam:Nicotiana sylvestris Nsyl_contig92986, whole genome shotgun sequence.
UGGACAGAUUAUUGUAUUCAAUUGUAUUCACGGUGUGAAAUAAGGGAUUAUACUGUUUUUAAAACGGAAAGUGAAUCAAUUAACAUAAUAGACUCCU